UACGUAGGGUGCAAGCGUUAAUCGGAAUUACUGGGCGUAAAGCGUGCGCAGGCGGUUAUGCAAGACAGAUGUGAGAUCCCCGGGCUCAACCUGGGAACUGCAUUUGUGACUGCAUGGCUAGAGUGCGGCAGAGGGGGAUGGAAUUCCGCGUGUAGCAGUGAAAUGCGUAGAUAUGCGGAGGAACACCGAUGGCGAAGGCAAUCCCCUGGGCCUGCACUGACGCUCAUGCACGAAAGCGUGGGGAGCAAACGGG
rnacentral:rRNA from 1 species